GCUAUCCCGUCUCAAGCCCUAACUCGAGAGCAUUCUUUUCGUCCCGUCCGAUCCGAUCCUUCCCAAUGGCUCAAGCUGCUCAUCCCAUAUGCAAACUCCUGAUACUCUCUGGAAUUUCUAUAAUGAGUUAUAAAAUUUAUAAUCUCGCAGAUGAAGCAUCGACACUGAUGCUAGAAGCGGACAAAAAGGUCGACGAGUUUCAGAGGACCAGUCAUAGCUUUACAAAGUACGACGUCAUUGAUGUGUACCGGGAAUGGAGGGAAAAACAAACCGUCCUGGACACCAUUGCAUCUAUACGCAGGUUCAGGGAUGCUAGUGCGGGGAAGAUGCUAGAGUAGUUUCAUGCUUCAAAUACUGAUCGCCCGGGCCUCAUCUCUCCAUGAUGAAAAACCCAGUGGGGCAAAAAUAUGGAAGAAUAAAAAAGAGUACAAUGUGUGAAGAUCUGUAUUGAUGGCACGCUCCCCUUCAUGUUUGCAAAAUACCUUUAAUCCAUACUGUUGAUCAUCUUUCUGAAUAUCAUAGUUGACAUUGCUUUUGUGAAUCAAUCUUAAU